UGGGGAAUAUUGCACAAUGGGGGAAACCCUGAUGCAGCGACGCCGCGUGAACGAAGAAGGUAUUCGUAUCGUAAAGUUCUGUCCUAUGGGAAGAUAAUGACAGUACCAUAGAAGAAAGCUCCGGCUAAAUACGUGCCAGCAGCCGCGGUAAUACGUAUGGCGCGAGCGUUGUCCGGAAUUAUUGGGCGUAAAGGGUACGCAGGCGGUUUAAUAAGUCGAAUGUUAAAGAUCGGGGCUCAACCCCGCAAAGCAUUGGGAACUGAUAAACUUGAGUAUGGGAGAGGGAAGUGGAAUUCCUUGUGUAGUGGUGAAAUACGUAGAUAUUAGGAGGAAUACCAGUAGCGAAGGCAACUUUCUGGACACAAACUGACGCUGAGGUACGAAAGCGUGGGGAGCAAACAGG
rnacentral:rRNA from 1 species